UACUAUAGCCACCAUCUCGGAUCAUCACUCCGUUUUUCGACUAGUCCCAGCUAUAUUCUCAUUUCCUGAAGAGAACAAUGAAAGCAAAGGGUGAGCUCAACUAGCCCAGUAAAGAAUAUUAUGACUAAGAUAAUGCAGAAUAAAUUAUGGUUAGCCUUCAACAGUUUUAAACUGAUAGAAUACAAUAGACAACAAGUUUAACUGCAGCGGAACAAAUAAUCCAUUAAAAGAGUCAAGUAGAACAUAAUAUCUACUAUCUUCUAUGAUUUAAAAUUUUAUCAUCAAUUUUAUCGCUGAGACUCAACUCAAUAAAUAAUCUACAUUACUGAAUUAUUCAUGCACUACGGGCCAAAAAUAUUCAUUAUUAUCACAUCCACGAAUCAUCCAUGCACUACGGGCCAAGGAUAUUCAUUAUUAUCACCAAUGGUCAUGAUCAUACUAAACAAUAAUUCAUUUUUGCACCCUUGGCCGAAGAGAACCCAUGGUCAUGAUCAUACCAACAACUGUCCAUCAAUGCACUACGGGCCAAUGAGGACUUUUACCACAUCAUUUGUAACAUUACAGGUCAUGAUUAUACCGAAUAAUUCAUGAUCAUAAUCAUACCAAUCAACAGUCCAUCUAUGCAAUACAGGCCAAAGAUGACUUUUAUCACAAUAUAAGUAUGAGGAUGAUGACAACGAUAUAAGAAUUCAAUCAAACGAAAUCAAGGAUAAAUAUUAAAGAUUUUUAAUUUAUCCAGAGUUUAAAAAUAUCCAAAUUGUCAACAUGAUAACUACUUUGUGAAAUAAAAUUCAAGAAUAAUAUUUAUGUAUCAAAAAUACUUUGGACAAAAAAAAACAAUUUUUCGGGUGAAUAGUACCUAGUGAAUAGUACUCAGUGAAUAGUACCUUACGUAUGAAUAGUAUUGUACGUAUAAAUAGUACCGUACGUAUUAAUAGUAUUGUACGUAUGAAUAGUACCCAUGAAUAGUACUCCGGCAUGAAAAUCUUAACAUUUAAAAAAGAAUGUUCAGAAAAAUAUUCUUGUGAAACUAUACUAGAUGAAGCGCAAAUUUCAAGGAUAUUCUACUAAUUUCAAAGAGAAUAGAAGUAAUACUUUAACAAAAUGAGUGUAGAAUUCGAAAUCUGAAAUGAAAUAAUAUUACUUAUAUACUACAGAGUAUGGAAGAAAAUAUUAUUUCAUACGAAUAUUGAAUAAAAAUAAUAUCCCUUACAACUGUUAAUCGAAAAUAAUAUUCCUACGAAUAUUGAACGAAAAUAAUAUUCCUUUACGAAUAUUGAACGAAAAUAAAAUUUAUUACGAAAAAUAUGAAAUAAAUAAUAUCCCUUACCUCAAAAGAAAAGUAAUUCUGACUCGUAUAGCGGAUAUAUUCUUGAAGAAAACUUGUAUUAUUUUUUACACUCAAAACUUCCUUAAACUCUAAAGAAAUACGAUCAAUAUUAUAGAAGAAGAAUUCUCUAAUUCUGGUGUGAUUUUCAUUUCUAAACUGAGCAUCCUAUUUAUAAGAGAAUGACAGGAUACUAUUUGAAUUAAAAAAUUACGGGUGAACAGUAAUUGAAAUUCACGGGCGAAGACGGCUGAAACUUUAAAAAAAAUUAAUUUUACUAUGCUGCACUAUGCACACACUAUGCAGUACUAUGCAACACUAUAUAUAAGAAAAUAUAAUAUACUAUAUUUUACAUAAAAAAUAAAUUUUAUAAUAUAUAUAUAUAUAUAUAAACAAAAUUGAGAUUACUUUCUCCCGAUAAUUUUAAAAAAUGAGUAAGUGAGGGUCCAUGUAAUAAGCAAAAUUUACAACAAAUACUUCAUAAAAUACCCCCUAUCUAUCUCAAUUCACUUGGCUUCGCUAAACACAUUUUUAAUAACAUUUAUUCAUCAUUAUUAUAACGCACAUUAUUAACAACCAGAUCAUUCACAGAAAAGAGGGGGCUUAUUGGCGCGCAAUUAGGUGACCAAACCCCUUUUCUCGACAGAACUUUCUAGACAUCGUCAAUAAUGCAAAUAAUAAUAUGAAUAACUUUGUCAUCUCAAUUAUUGAUUUAAUAAUAUAAAAUAUUGUAACAAUAAUUGAAUCAAUAACGUGAAAUACUAUACAACAAUUAUUGUGGCAAUAAUUGAAUAAAACUGAGUGACUUCUCAUUAGACCUGGCAAACAGGCCGGGCUAGCCCAAACGGGCCAGGCCAAAAUGGCCCAAGUUUUGGUGGGAUAGAAUUAAGUGGCCCGUGGCCCGAGUUGGGCCAGGCCGGCCCAGCCCGCGGACUUUUUCUAAUUUUUUUUAAAAAAAAUUCUGUAAAUCAACCAGCUCAAACCUCAGUAUUGAUAAACAUAUAAAGAAUAAUUGGUUCAACUUAAUAUAUUCCUCACUGUAAAUGUUGAAAUAGAUAGAUUAACGAUAACACAGCUAAAGAAAAUGACACUGUUGUUUUCUCUAAAUGACAUUCCUCACUGCAUGACAUUCCUCAGUCCUCACUGCAUCUGCUCUGUAAAAUAAGCUCCAAAUACAUGCUUGCAAUCCCAUCUUCUCCGUCCAAGAAUGGCAUGACAUCCUGUGCAGAAAGAUUCAUAAAUGUGUACGCAGUAGUUGCAUUGCAUAAAUGAACAAUAGUGGCCUUCAUUGUAUACAGUAUAUUCCUUCCCAAAAAUUAGUAUAUAUUUACACAUUUUUUUCUUGAAUUCUGAUAAUGAAUACUUUACUUAGAACAAACAAAUAAAGGAAACCUUUUUUGCCAUCUUGCAGUUUACUUAGAACAACCAAAUUGGAUUUAUCUUGCAGUUUGUGACUGUACACAAGAUAACCUUUUCUUAGUACUUGAAAAAUCAAACAAAAAUCAAUGAAAUAGUUCAUAAAAAAUGAAGAAUCAAACCUUGAAGAAAAGGAUCAUUAGGGUGUUGGAAAAUGCAUGAAACAUUGUUCUGAAUCAGAAAACAAAAAAACAUCAAGAUGCCACCUGCAAACUUAAGGAAUUAGAGAGGCUAAAACUUAUGCAAGACAUGGGACACGCUGAAUAUCAUAUACAUAUAACAAUAUAUGUUCAACCCAAAUUAAAUUAAUCCCCAUAUCAUCAUUCAUUCAUACUCAACUGUCCACCCUUAAAUCUAAAAUUAGCAGAAAUUAAGUAGCAUCUAGUUCACUAUUUACUUUAAAUGAUUAAAUUGUUUUAAUUUAUAUAAAAAGUAAAAAUAUGUAUGGAACAUAAUUUCCUUAAAGUAGAUGGUAUAUAUACUUUAUAACAUAUUAUUAGGUUAAUUAAAUUCCAUUUGAACCUCUGUAGUUCAAGGGAUAACCAAACACUACCCAUACGAACAAAUUCCGGCAUUAAACAGAAACUCACAAAUGGUCAUAGAAAGAGGAAAAAAAGCUCUAAACAAAUCAUCAAUUUCGGAACUAGCAAUAGCGUACAUGAAUGUAUAUAUUUAUAUUCAGAAUGUGGUUCAGAGAAUCGUCAAAAAUGAUAUUAGAAAGGGAAAAGAAAAGAUACAAAUGGUUAGACCCAAGUUUCGAUAGUUAGUCUUUGCCCAAUUUCCUUCUCAUUCUUCUUCUUCCCCAUUUCUACGACUUUACUGUGUCCUUGGGUACUAAUUGAACAUACUCGACAAACAUGUGUUUUUGGUAUUUAUAGUCUUUUCUCGCAUAACAUAAACCGGAUUUUUCAAAAAAUUAUAGAAAUAGUACUCCCAGAUUCAAAAAAAGUAGAAAAUUACCCAGAUUCCAGAGAGAAAUUGGUCUCACAGAAUGAGGAUUUGGAUUCGGGAUGAAGAGAAGAAGCUACACAGUCGGCGUGGUCGAUCGAUCGAAAGUUUGGAUUUCCCAGCCGGCAGUCGUCGUUGUCUCGCUGUCUCAUACUCUCAUUUUCAGAUCUAGAUCUAAAAAAAGUCCCUUUUAAUUUAUUAUGCCUUAGCCAAGUCGAUUAGACCCCUUAGGGAGAUUACAUAGCCAGAUUACAGAUAAUGAUUUUUU
rnacentral:lncRNA from 1 species